CGAAACGAAAUCAACGAAACAAAUGAAACGAAAUCAAGUCAGUAUGUCGAAUUUUUUCUUUCUUUUUUUAUCUACAUCACACACGUCGUAUCUUGCCGUAUAAAUAAAUUCUCACUCAGCUUUUACGUCGCGUUUCACACAGUGUGCGUUACAAUUCAUCCGCUCUUUAACGAAGCCUAUCGAAAUUUCUCCGAUUUCAAGGCGGCUCACCCAACCUGUCGGUCAGAUAACAGCGCGCGUUAAGAAUCCAGGAUCCCCGCGAAUGAAUUUCGCAGCGAAUUAACGAUCGCACUUCCGCGCUUUACCUGGAGAACGCGACGCGUCGUCGGUCGGAAACGCGACCGCGACCACUGCGACGAGCGCGACGAACAAGAAGACCAUGAUUCUUGACAUCCUGCCGUUGUUGAUCGGACACUUAGUGCGCGCGCUACGAGACGUUACGCUAUCCUGCAGGUAUCUUCCAAUGCCAAAUGACGACGAGAAAAUCGGCCAGGCAGUCCUUAUAUACGGCGAGCCAUCCGGGAUAAACCGGCGCGUUUACGCGGCCGCGAAACGGCCACUUUCGACCGCGACGAAUCGCCGCAUAUCAUUAGCGCCGACGGACGAGACGGAGAACGGGUCUCUCUUAGUUGAUGUUGGGCGAUGAUGCGCCGACGUGUCCCUGGAGCGAUUUCCUGCUCUUGCUGGCUGGUCCACUCGCACGGACGAAUAUGUCACUUUGUGACACAAGCUCGAGCGGAUAAUCAAGCAGUCUUAAAUGAUUGCGGGAUAGAUCGCACCGAUCAUUGGUUCCCACGCGAGUCGAAGGAGGUGGAUUGUGAAGACCGCGAGGGUGUUCAGACGGUGACGACUUGGUGUUUCAACUUGCCCAUGAAAUUGAUUGCUCUAUUAGGAGCUAUUCCUCGGACGGCUGCGAGCGUCGUUUCUUUCUAACCGAACUCAUCUCAAUCGCUCUGGCCGUGCAAAGCUGAGAAACUAAGAGCAAGUCUCAAAACUGAGUAAUGAGACCGAAUAAUGUGGGAAUCGCUGACUAAAGUGAUCGCGAAUGAUUUCCUUCUUAACAAAAAGAUUCGACUUACCCAGUGGGAGAUCCACCAUACGCAGUCGCCACCGAGCUGGCGACUCCACCUUUCCCCGUAGAGUAACUAUUCGCAAUAGCUGUGAUGGUUCCAGGAGGAGAGCCAGCAGAUCCAGCGCGAGUAGCCACUCUCGGGAAGCUGAAGACCAUGGGGAAGAAAUUGUUCAGAUUAGGAUAUCCCUGGCGACGCCGGUUGCCUUUGAAAGGCACGAACGGCACGACCGGUUCGUCGUCUUCCUCGUCCACCUCGUCCUCGCCGUCAUCAUCAUCGUUCACGAUCACAGGUGUCUUCUGUGUCCUCUUGGUAUUAUGUACCUUCGGCCUCGUCACUGACACUUCCGUGCUGGCUGCAAUCGGCUCUUCUGCCGGUUGCGCGAUCUCCGUGGUUAACGGAAUCUGCUCCGGCUCGUGAUGUUCCUAUUCACUCGUUUCGGAAAUGAUUUCGUAUAUAUCGAACAACUGCAAAACCGCGAACUUCAUACCUGAGGAUUGAGAGAAUCCUGCUGAUGAUGAUGGUGAUGUUCGUCGCGGUGAUACUUUUCAUCCUCUUCGUGGUGGUGAUGCUGUUCUUCUUGCGGAUAGUGAUGAUGAUGUUCCUGAUGAUGCGGCUGUUGCUCUUGAUGCCGUUGUUCAUUCUCGUUGUAGGUCUCCUCAGACGCGGGCGCCGCCUGCGCCUCGGCGCUGGACACUUCCGGUUCCUCGAUGGGUUCUGGGCCACCCCUGAGAUGCGGCGUGUGCAUCCCGCCGAAAAAAGCCUCGCCGCUCACGGCGUUCCCCUGAGCGAAGACGCCGGUCGCCUGACCGCCGUUACUCGAACGGCGUACCGGCCUGUAAUAUCCGGUGAACAUCAUCGCCCGUUGCGGUUUAAGAAAGGAAGACGUCAAUGCUUGAUUCGUUAUGCAUCGUUCGAAGAUUGAUUUGAAGAGAGACUACAGUCAAAGGAAUUAAUACAACUUGCUAAAUUUGAAAAAUAUUGAAAGUAAAGCUAUUAUAAAUUACAUAUGUAAUAAAAAAUAUAUAUCAGAUUUCUAGAUUAUUGUGUGUGAUAAAUUGCACAGAGAAAUGACAAGAUACGGACUUUUAUUCUUACAUUUAUUGUUUUUUACUUCAAAAUGAAAGAUGUUAAUUCCUGAUCCACAUCGCACGAGUCACAUGUAUAAGAAUCUCGAAAACCGAUUUUAAAGAUUCUUUGAACAAGAAGUUAAGAAUAAAGCUUUUGAAAUUCGAAAAAUAUAGAAGGUAAAAGUUAUUAAUAAAUAGCACAUAUGUAGUAAAAAAAUAUGUAUCCUAUAUAAAAAUUUAUAUAUUAUACUGAUAGAUUGUCAAAGGGAGAAAUGACAACAAAUAAACACACACAAAUAAAGUCGAAGAUUGAUUUCAGAAACUUUUUCAGACGAAGGAGCUACAAUGCAAUUUACAAAAUUUCACAAAAAUUCGAGUAAAGUUCACUAAGUAGCACAUAAUGAAAGAAAAAGAUAAUAUAUAUUAAAUAUAUUGAUUUUCAGCGCUUACUGGGUUCGGCCGGAACCACACUCGACUCGGCAACCACGAUCGUCGACGCGAUCACGAUUAGAACGAAG